rfam:Trametes pubescens strain FBCC735 TRAPTBscaffold_1665, whole genome shotgun sequence.
GCCCGCCUAGCUCAAUCGGAUAGAGCGUGAGACUUUUAAGGAGGUCCAAACCUCCUACGAUAUCUCAAGGCUGCGAGUUCGACCCUCGCGGUGGGCU